rnacentral:rRNA from 1 species
CCUACGGGAGGCAGCAGUGAGGAAUAUUGGUCAAUGGUCGGGAGACUGAACCAGCCAAGCCGCGUGAGGGAUGAAGGUACAGAGUAUCGUAAACCUCUUUUGUCAGGGAACAAAGGCGGGGACGUGUCCCCGGAUGAGUGUACCUGAAGAAAAAGCAUCGGCUAACUCCGUGCCAGCAGCCGCGGUAAUACGGGGCAUGCGAGGGUUGUCCGGAUUUAUUGGGUUAAAAGGGUGGGAAGGCGGGCUGGUAAGUCAGAGGUAAAAGCCCGGGGCUCAACCCCGGCCCGCCGUUGAAACUGGCAGUCUCGAGUGGGAGAGAAGUAUGCGGAAUGCGCGGUGUAGCGGUGAAAUGCAUAGAUAUCGCGCAGAACUCCGAUUGCGAAGGCAGCAUGCCGGCUCCACACUGACGCUGAGGCACGAAAGCGUGGGUAUCGAACAGGAUUAGAUACCCCGGUAGUC